UGGGGAAUAUUGCACAAUGGGGGAAACCCUGAUGCAGCGACGCCGCGUGAACGAAGAAGGUAUUCGUAUCGUAAAGUUCUGUCCUAUGGGAAGAUAAUGACAGUACCAUAGAAGAAAGCUCCGGCUAAAUACGUGCCAGCAGCCGCGGUAAUACGUAUGGAGCGAGCGUUGUCCGGAAUUAUCGGGCGUAAAGGGUACGCAGGCGGUUUAAUAAGUCGAAUGUUAAAGAUCGGGGCUCAACCCCGUAAAGCAUUGGAAACUGAUAAACUUGAGUAGUGGAGAGGAAAGUGGAAUUCCUAGUGUAGUGGUGAAAUACGUAGAUAUUAGGAGGAAUACCAGUAGCGAAGGCGACUUUCUGGACACAAACUGACGCUGAGGUACGAAAGCGUGGGGAGCAAACAGG
rnacentral:rRNA from 2 species